rnacentral:lncRNA from 1 species
AUUUUACUUUUAUCAACUUUAAAAAAUGACCAUAAUUUGUUCAGAAAAUAUUUUGUCAAGAGUUUAGCUCAUAAAAAUACUGAAUGUUAGCUUGGUGAUCUAAUAAGUCACUCCCCACAUUAUGGUUGAGAAAAGACACAAUAAUAAACCAAAAUAUGGAGCCAAUAAUAAUUUCCUUCAAAAACCUUGCAUAUCUACAGAUGAAUCAAAGGGGAAGAAAACAACCAGACAACAAGCAAGUCCCUGGAGAGUGCCUAGCUGUCUGACAGUCCAUGUUUACUCAUUCAAAGAUGCCCUUCACAUAUCCUGACCCUCUUUCCAGCACUUCCACUGCUCAAUGCGGAACAUUAUUCUGACUAAUGAUUCCCUUCCAAUCAAGUUUAAUAGUUGUUUUCAUCUCUUCAGCACUGAGAACUCCAUAUAUCUGUUUCUUUUCAAAUAUGGUUUUAAUUCAGGAAAUACAAAAAUGUACAAGAAAAAAUGAUAAAUCGAUGCCUCUUGUGAGUAUAGUAGCAUCAGUAUAAUAGAAAGAACACUGACCUCAGAAUUAGAACACUCUGGUUUGAAGUCAAGACCUUCUGAGCCUUGGUUUCUUCCUCUAAGGAUAUUAACCUCUCAACAUUUUCUAAUUCAUAACAUUCAUCUAAUGACUAAGUGAAUGAAUCUCACAGGAUCAUCUCUCUCUGUCCUAUUCUACUUUGUCAUCCCUCUUUGCCUUUUCUUAUUUAAUACCACUCCUUCAUACUACCUCCUACCUCCUUCCUUUUGUACUCCCAAUUACGCAGUGGUUUCCUUUUCUGUGACUUUUCACUUGCAGUCACUUCUCUUGGUUUCUUUAUUUACUUUGUAUCUCUAUCUCCUUUUCUCUUUUCCCACACCCACCUUAUGCUUGGAAAAGCCUCCUGUUUUACAUUUCCAAAGUCAACUUCUUCCUGUCACACAAAACCUAACAAAAUUCACUCCCUCUGCCUUUUAUAUGCUCGCAGCAAACAAUAAAUGAUUAAAGUGCUGAUGGUAAACUCAUCUGCAAAAAACAUGUAUUCUGAGCAAUGGAUUUUGGCAAAGAAAAGAUAGGGAGGAACUGCAACCCACUUAGUAAUUUCUCUAACCAACCGUUAACACAUUUGUGCUACCAUAAUUAUUGCUCUGGCAAAUACUACAUUGUCAUAGAAACAUUGUUUCCCAAACACUUAUUUAUAGAUUUUAUUGGUGGCAUAUGUUAACCGUGAAGCAGUUUCCAUAGUGUUGUUGUGAGCUUUGACAAUGAAGAGUGAUAAGGAACACGAUUCAGCUUCCACAGUUGACCCACUAAUUGGAAGUCUGUAAAACAAGAAAUUUUCCCAGACUUUCUAUAUGUCAAGGUGAGUAGAGCUGGUGAUCCCCCAGAUGCACUUCUUAUCAUAAGGUUUAUUGCCCCAAGGAAGAGAAGUAAAUGAACCACCUAGAGGUAAGAAGUUCACAAGGGAGAAAAUGAGGCUAGAACACAGGGUUUGAUCUCAUUUGACCAACUGUGCAAGGGAGGGAAGGAUAUCCUGAGUCUCAGGAAAGUAGCAUCUCAAUCUCCUUGGACUUGAUUCUAGGAGUGAGAGCAAUACAAAAAAGGGAAAAAAAAAAAAAAAAAAAAAAAACAAGAAACAAAGGGAAGGAGAGAGGAGGGAAGGGGAAAGGAGGGGGAUAAAGGGAAAGGAACGGAAAGGAAUGGAAAGACACAACAAAAGCCCAGAUAGUAUAAAGGGGCAACAGAAGUAAAGGGGAUCUGUUACCAUUUCCUAUUUCAAAACUGGCUAGCAGGCUGCCCCGGAGCUGACAUGACAGGUAAGGCAGAAUAAAGUGGUGGUGUGGCAGAGGGAAGGCAGGAGAGCACCUCUACAUCCUUUUAGCACAAAUGUGACAGGCCCACUUGCCAGGGGUUAUGGGGAGGUAGCUGACAGUUGAGGUCCAAACUGUUUUGCCAAAGAGCCACUGAGGCGAGGGAUAAGAUGACCUCCUAGCAGAGACUUGGAGCUCACAAGCCUAGGCCGGGACUGGAUAGAAUGUUCCUCUAAGAUUCCAAAGAUCUGCAUGCCAAAAGAGCCAAGGUGAAGCCAACUUUGCUGUAGGCCUGCAUGAGAACCAUGGGGUCCCCACCAUAUUAAGUGGAUAUAGACUGUGAGGCACACAAGCCUUGGAUACCUCAUCAGCAGAGGCAGAGAGGACAAAAGCAAUUCUCAGACAUCCACUGUGCCUCAGCAAGAGGUCAAUAGGUGCUUGCAGGGUAGGACAACAGGUAGAUUAGUUGCUUCCCACUAAUGCUGUGGGAGCUGUGGAAAUAAAGACCAAUGAAAUGGUGCUAUAGCAAGGGAGUCAGCCACCAUCACUUUUGUUUUGCUGACACUCAAAGUCAGGGAGAGGACUGGGAAAGCUUUGUAGGGGAAAAAAAGGAAGGCUUCAGGUGUGCCUCAAUUAGAGGCUGUUGGUGUGGGAAAGCUGUAGGCAGGCUAACCAGAGCCAGGCAUGCUAUGGCAUUGAUUAGGGGUGCAUAUAUUUGGCUUUCACUGGGUUAGUCCUAAACUGGAAGUGCUUACAAAAAUUAGGGAAGCUGUCAGUUGUUAAUCAAGUCCUGGUUGUCUUUGGCUGAUUGUAACAGUAGUUAUUGUUAGGUUCUUGGAUUGUCACUAAGGAUAACAGUCUGGCUUCCUUUAAGUCGGACUUACAUAGCAGGCUGGCUUCCUGGGCUGUUUAUUGUAGAAAAGGGAGUCGGUUUCCUGGGCAGGUUGCUGCAGACUGUUGGUUGAAGUUCUAAUUUUUAUAUACAAUCUGGCCAAUGUCAGUUUGUAUAUUCAGUUUCUCAGAGCACAAAGUAUCCCCUGCCACCUGGGUGGCAUCUUGGAAAGCAGGUUGAGAAGGAACAACUCGAGAGAAGAGGAAUAGCUCUUUUGGAGAGUUCAAAUUUUGAAUUGAUUGGAUAUUUAUUUUUUAAAAAGACUGUGUUAGCCAUCAGUAGACUGUGAGGUACACAAGCCAUGGAUGCCUCAUCAGCAGAGGCAGACAGGACAAACAGAAAGAGACUGUUGCCUAAAAGUGAGGGAUUUACCACUAACGAUCAAUUUAGUUUUUGUUGUUUGUUAUUCUGCUAGCAACAGAACUAGAGAAUCCAAAGCAAGAUGAAAUCGGGUUAGGAAUAUAGAGAUUUACAUUUUUUGCACACACCAUCUGUAAUGUGCAAAUUUUGACCCUGUUUUAUUACACAUAGUUUACGAAUGAAGACUCUGACACUAAUAAGUGUUCAAAAUAACAAUCAUUAAAACCAUAUAUUUCAAGGUGCCACUUUCUGGGAUACCCAGGACACUUGAACAGAGAAAGGGGCAGUUAUGCCACUUGAGGGUCCAAACAAUGAACACAAACCCAAUAGACUACAGGUUGAGAAUGUGGAGAAAACACCCAUUCCCAAUAAAACUAACUCAUAGAUUUUCCAGUUUUGUGAAAUUUCAGAUUUUGCAUGCCAUUGUUCUUAUAAGCACAUACACAUGGCAAUCCAAGAGUUCCCAAGUUUGACCUCGAUAACAUGGACAGAAUUACUGAAUAAAACGAUAACAAUUUGGGAUCAAAUCACCCAAGCAAGCUAGGUGCUCUUGUCCUGGAAAAGAGUUCUCAGUGAGAACUUAGUGAGAGGCCCACACAGGCCUGUGGACCAAGCUUUCCACAACAGCACCUCUGUAAACUAACUUGGCUCACUUUGAAAAGCUGCAGACAAAGUCAAGGGAGCAGAGGUUAUUUAAGUAAAGAGAAUAAAUAGCUCUGGGCUCACUGUGAUUAGUUAGAAAAUAAAAUGAGAUUUGAUGAAGCACCUUUGUAUUCAUUCCAGAACUCCAAAUCACUUCUUAUUAUGAAUAUAGGGUAAUACAAGUUGAAUAUCAUAUAAUUAAUGUUCAUUUUUAACACUCUCUGGAAUUCUAAUUUUUAAAAGCCUCCCUUAAGAUGUCUUCCACCCUGACAGCCACAUUCUCAAAUGUUCUAAUGCCACCUAAAAAGACCAUGUUUCAUAAAUUCCACAUUGAUGUUAUAAUAAAGUAGCAGAAUAAUUUUAGGAUUUAUUUCCAUUUGAUGAUUGCCCUAUUGCUUUUGAAAAUAAUGACUCUCAAUUAUUCCAAUGUGAGAUGCAUUCACUUUAUUACAUUACCUAAAUUUGUCUAGAUAUUGCAAGGCUUUAGGCAGCUCCUAGUAAAGACACACAAUGUUCCUAUUUCUUUCAAUUACGCUUUUUAAUAUUAAUUUCCAAAAAUGGCAUUUUCCCUUAUUCUCUUAUUUACUAGAAAAUAAACAUUAGUGUGUUGUUCUUAAGCAUGGUGGUUUUACAUUUACACAUACGGUCCCUAUUUUUUCUUCUUAUUCGAUUAAGGAUAGAGGUAGGUAAUUAAAAUGAGUAUUUGACCACUUAAUUAUCUACUGUGUGCCUUUGCCACUUAUUGUGCUUACUCUUUUCAUUUUGCAAGAAGAAAGGCUCAGAAAAGCUAAAUAACUUGCCUAUGACAACACAGUAGUAAGUGAUAGACAUACUGGGUUUGUCUGAACCAUUGCCUCUCACUGCCAUUCCAGAGAGGGUGAGAGGGCCUGGUUCUCUUCACAUCACAUCAAGUCAGUACCCUCUCUUUGUCUUCUUUUUGUCCUCUCUUACCUGAUGCAGGAAGCUGCUCUUUAAGAAUACCGGCAAUGAAGCCAAGAGUUCUAGGUUCAAACUCUGUACCCUCAACAGGUAUUAGCUAUGUGAUAGAAAGUGCACUACUCCCAAUGCACCAAAAUUAAUACUAGUUUGGGUUAUAAAUUGCUCCGUAAAUCUCAGGGCUUAACCCAGUAAAAAGGUAUUUCUUGCUGCCAUCACAGUAUAACACAGGUAGGAAAAAUCUCCUCCACAUAGUGACUCAGGGAUCCAGGAUGUCUCCACCUUCUGGUUGCAAAGAUGUCCUCCCAUGACCCAGCUGACAAAUGAGAGGGAAAAGAGGGCAUGUGGGUGAAAGGCACUUUGACAUGUAACCAUUGGCCAGAACUGGUCACUUUUCAUCAGCCAACAGGUUUAAACUAAAUGCAAAGGAGACUGAGAAAAUAUCAGUGAGUACAUGGAUAUCAGUGAAUAACAGUUUCUGCCACAUUGGGCUAGUUUUUUUAUUAUUUUUUGUUUUCUUGAUUUGUCUAGGUCUCUGUUUCUUACUUCUAUGAAGUAAAGAUAAAGCACUUAGCAGUAUGCUUGGCACAUAAUGUGCAUUUACUCCAUGUUUUUAAGUUUAAUACAUUAUAUAAGUGUGUAAAUAGGCCCUCAAUAAAGAUGAAAAACUACGUUCUUUGGAUCAAUGAGAGGAAAACUGAGAGAAGAAAGUGGAUUUGCCAAACUAAACUUCAACAAAGAUCCCCAGGGCACAGUCUGGGGAUUUGAAGGCAUUCAGCAAAUGCUGUUCAACGAAGAAAUGAAUAAGAAGCUGUCAGAAUAUUUAAGACAUAUGGUGCAUAGGCCUCCCACCAAAGAAGUGACAGCAGGAAUGGAGAGAAAGAAGGACAUCAGAGGUAUUUAAAAGAAACAAUCGUCAGGACAUGGUGACUGGAUGAAGAAAUGACAAGACCCAGAAACAAUUACAAUGUCCAGCCAGAAAGGUCCGGUGGCACUUUGGUACAAUUGAAGACACUAGGAAAUGUAGAUGCGUAGGUAGAUUCCCCACGCCCUCUUUUUUUUUUUUUUUUUUUUUUUUUUUUUGGGAUGGAGUUUUGCUGUGUCACCCAGGCUGGAGUGCAGUGGCACAAUCUCGGCUCAUUGCAACCUCUGCCUCCUGGGUUCAGGCGAUUCUCCUGCCUCAGCCUCCUGAGUAGCUGGGAUUACAGGUGCGUGCCACCACGCCUAGCUAAUUUUUUAUUCUAGUAGAGACAGGAUUUCACUAUGUUAGCCAGGCUGGUCUUGAACUCCUGACCUUAAGUGAUCCACCUACCCGGCCUCCCAAAGUGCUGGGAUUAUAGGCAGAGCCACCACAUCUGGCUUUUCCCACCCCCUCUUAUUUCACCAGUUGAUAGUUCUUGGGGCCUGGGAGUGGAGUGGAAGAAAGUGAGGUGGAUGGGACAGUGAGAGCAAUGUAUGAUGUCCUAUUCUAAAAUAUAAAAUAAUAAUAAUGCAAAUAAUAAUGUAAAUAAGUCAACCACAUGCUCAAGAAUUAAAGAUAAGGCUUAAGAUACAGAUACAUAAUUAAAACUACACUAAGCUAUUGAUUCUCUGGCAAUACUUUUAAGGAUACCUCUAAUUCCAAAGGCCUAUUAUAUUUGACAAAAAGCCUAUACGAUAUGCAAGAAUUGUAUUUUCUCAAUAUCAACCAUCACAUUUAGAAAACCUUCAGAAAGCAUAUGUACAUAGUAUCUUAUGUGUAAGUGAAUGAGAAUUUUAUGAAUAAACUUUUUAAGGGAAUUAAGACAAUACAAUCGUCUGUAUCUGAAAUAAAGCAGAGACAAAGGCAAAGAUUAUAGCUAUGGAUGAGGUGAACUGAGUAUCAAUACAUUCUAAGAUAACAUAGAGUUAAUGAAAUUUAUUAAAUGAUCAAUACCAGUAUAAUAAAUAUCCUGGCAAUAGUAAAACUGAUAGCCCAUAAUAAAGAGGAAAAUAUAUUCGAAUAGUCUUCCAAGAAGACAAAAAUAUAAAUACAUGGAGUUGUUUUUUUUUUUUUGAGAGAUGGAGUCUUGCUCUGACACCCCAGCUGGAGUGCAGUGGUGUGAUCUUGGCUCUCUGCAAGCUCUGGCUCCUGGGUUCACGCUAUUCUCCUGCCUCAGCCUCCAGAGUACCUGGGACUACAGGUGCCCACCACCACGCCCGGCUAAUUUUUUUGUAUUUUUAGUAGAGACGGGGUUUCACCAUGUUAGCCAAGAUGGUCUCGGUCUCUUGACCUCGUGAUCCACCCGCCUCGGCCUCCCAAAGUGCUGGGAUUAUAGGCAUGAGACACCAUGCUCGGCUGGAGACAUUUUUUACCAGAAAUUAUUUUGUUCUAUCAAUUACUUUGAAGAUACACUAAGCAGUUAUGAAUUAGAUGAAAUUAGCAAAGGUUGCAACAAUGUUAGGCAUGAACUGGUGAUAAUGCUGAGCCCAUUUCAACCAGAAAUAGAUGAAUUUAGUUUUGCUUAAAGGAAAGAUGAUCAGCCCAGCCAGGCACUGACCUCAGUAAACCAUUUCUAAACAGAGGAAGCUCUAACUUCCUCAUUUUGCCCAAAAAUGCUGCAUUAUGGGAAGUCAAGCCUAGGUAUUUCCAGGGUUCUCACUCCAGCUGUCCAUUCAGCUGCAGCCUGAGCCACCUGUUGCUACCCACAAACCUCCUCAACCAAGGACAGUGGGGAUCUAGGACCGUGUCUUUUGCAUUGCUUCGUGUCUAAGGAAGGUUGAGACUGCUUAAGAAUAGGAAUUUCACUCUUGCAAUGUAGCUAAGUGUCAAGGUCUGGGAAAGAAUGCUGCUACCAAGGGUGGCUCCGCAGGCUUUUAUUUUGUCCCACAGCUUGGUUCCAGACACCAACUCUUUAUCCUUCAGUCACCCUAGGGUGACUAAUGUCUAUCAGAUGCCUCAAUGUAUCUUUAUAUUGAACCUAAAUCUUCUUGGGUUAACUUAUGGAGAAUGGACAGAAAUGACUUGGGGAAGAAUGAGUAUAACAAGUGAGCAUGUAUAGAACCCAAAAGAUCUGAAUAUGAAGGACUUUUGGGAAAUAAAUCACUCUUUUUCAGUUUAUUGCUGUAAACAGUGUCAAGCUUGCUUUCCAACUACUGCGUCACAUAAAUGCCAACUCAUUUUCAUGUACUUUCUGAAAGAGAUAACAGAAACAGCAAAACAACAAAUAUGAUUAUAAAAAU